CACGCAGGCGGUUUGUUAAGUCAGAUGUGAAAGCCCCGGGCUCAACCUGGGAACUGCAUUUGAUACUGGCAAACUAGAGUAUGAGAGAGAGAAGUGGAAUUCCACAUGUAGCGGUGAAAUGCGUAGAGAUGUGGAGGAACAUCAGUGGCGAAGGCGACUUCUUGGCUCAAUACUGACGCUCAGGUGCGAAAGCGUGGAGAGCAAACAGGAUUAGAUACCCUGGUAGUCC
rnacentral:rRNA from 1 species